rnacentral:ncRNA from 1 species
AUGGUGACAUUAGGGCCAAAGGAAGUGCGAAACAAAAUCGAGGGCCAACGAACAGAAAUUUACUAUAAGGCUACAUAAACGGAUAAGGUUGCCAAACAAACUAAAGUCCAAAAGAUACACGUAACUUUAUGUAGUAAAGUAAGUGGCUAAUCGAGGAAAGAUAU